rnacentral:rRNA from 1 species
AGAGUUUGAUCCUGGCUCAGGAUGAACGCUGGCGGCGUGCUUAACACAUGCAAGUCGAACGAAGCCAAAAGGAAGCUUGCUUCUUUGAAGCUUAGUGCGGACGGGUGAGUAACGCGUGAGCAACCUGCCCUUCAGUGGGGAAUAACACAGAGAAAUCUGUGCUAAUACCGCAUAACGUCAUUGUGCCGCAUGACACGAUGACCAAAGGAUUUAUUCGCUGAAGGAUGGGCUCGCGUCCGAUUAGCUGGUUGGUGGGGUAACGGCCUACCAAGGCGACGAUCGGUAGCCGAACUGAGAGGUUGAUCGGCCACAUUGGGACUGAGACACGGCCCAGACUCCUACGGGAGGCAGCAGUGGGGAAUAUUGGGCAAUGGGCGAAAGCCUGACCCAGCAACGCCGCGUGAAGGAAGACGGUCUUCGGAUUGUAAACUUCUUUGAUUGGGAAGAACAAAUGACCUACCCAAGAACAAGUCACGGCUAACUACGUGCC